rnacentral:rRNA from 1 species
CGGAUCUGUAAGUCAGUGGUGAAAUCUCAUAGCUUAACUAUGAAACUGCCAUUGAUACUGCAGGUCUUGAGUAAAUUUGAAGUGGCUGGAAUAAGUAGUGUAGCGGUGAAAUGCAUAGAUAUUACUUAGAACACCAAUUGCGAAGGCAGGUCACUAAGAUUUAACUGACGCUGAUGGACGAAAGCGUGGGGAGCGAACAGGAUUAGAUACCCUGGUAGUCCACGCCGUAAACGAUGCUAACUCGUUUUUGGGGUUUCGGCCUCAGAGACUAAGCGAAAGUGAUAAGUUAGCCACCUGGGGAGUACGUUCGCAAGAAUGAAACUCAAAGGAAUUGACGGGGGCCCGCACAAGCGGUGGAUUAUGUGGUUUAAUUCGAUGAUACGCGAGGAACCUUACCAAGACUUAAAUGGGAAUUGACAGCUUUAGAAAUAGAGCUUUCUUCGGACAAUUUUCAAGGUGCUGCAUGGUUGUCGUCAGCUCGUGCCGUGAGGUGUUAGGUUAAGUCCUGCAACGAGCGCAACCCCUGUCGCCAGUUACUACCAUUCAGUUGAGGACUCUGGCGAGACUGCCUACGCAAGUAGAGAGGAAGGUGGGGAUGACGUCAAAUCAUCACGGCCCUUACGCCUUGGGCCACACACGUAAUACAAUGGCCGGUACAGAGGGCAGCUACACAGCGAUGUGAUGCAAAUCUCGAAAGCCGGUCUCAGUUCGGAUUGGAGUCUGCAACUCGACUCUAUGAAGCUGGAAUCGCUAG